CGUCGGACUCAAGGUGGGGUGGCCUUGGUCUCUUAGCCGGCCCUAACAUUAUCCCACACUGACUAAGCGAAAGAUACAAACGGCUUUAUAUACGGUUUCCCGACUUACGUGGGUUCCCCAUGUACAAGGGCAAAGAGCGUUGGGGGAUAACUCAUUUAACACUCAGCCGAGUCGCCCAUAUUUCAAGUUGAGACUAGGUGAGAUCUUUUCGAGAUCUCGCUUCAGAGAGAACGUCAACGAGCGUCUCACGGUGCAAAGGAAACUUUCCGUUCUCAACGGUGAAAGAUAGGGGGCAAGGCCUGGCCUCCAGAGAAUCCCAACGCAUUUUUUAAUUUUUUGUGGGGAACGGAUCUUUUUUAUCGUCUUUGGUGUUGAGUGAUGUUUUGUGUGAUUGCUCCGGCGAGUUUUGUGGUGAUUGCUGCCGUUGUUUCAAGAAAAGACUAGUUAAACGUACUCUGGCCUUGCCGAUUUGGGGAACUUUGAUAAGUUUCUUGAGUGAAAAUGCCAGCUAACCUGGAGAGGGAGCGAGGUGGUGGAAUGGCGAACAGUAACAAUGCAGUAGAGCUACAGAAAAUUUGGCGUUCUUUUUUUUUAGGCCUGGAGAGGGAGCGAGUUGGUGGAAUGGCGAACAGUAACAAUGAAGUAGAGCUACAGAAAAUUUGGCGUUCCAAGUCUAGCAGAUACUCUUAGGGUCCAUGGAACUUGGUUCUUUUUAACAUGACCCUGUAUUUAUUCGAAUGUUUCAUUGUUUUUCUAGUCUUCCUCUUCAUGGUUCCAACAUCAACUGCCGGCAUUUUGCUCCAUAUUUAUCAUAGCUGCUAGCUGCCAGACUGACUAUACCGGUUGAACCUGUGGGCAGUCAUCAUUGGCCGAUUACUGUAUCUACUUACUUUGUAGCCUACUCUGAUGGAUCAUGUACUGACACCAACAGUGCACGAGCACCAGACAGAAUGUUGGGUGAAGUGCGAGGGAGAAGCUCCAGGUGUAUGGCCUCAUCAUUAGUACGUACGGGGUUUGUACGAGGUUCCAUGACCCAAGGAAAUGGUUGUUAUCAACACAGGUGCAUUAAUAAUAACUCUCUAGAGGUGAAUUGAUGUGUCCUGCAUACCAUGAUCUCUUAGCAGUAGACCAGUUCUCGGUUCAGGACAUUGUCCCAAUUCUUGUCAUUUCAGUGGAGACUCUGUUGAUGGAUGGUGCCAUUGCUUCCUAGGAUUUCAUGGUCAUGACUGUGGCAAACGCUCUUGCCCCAGCAAUUGUAAUGGAUAUUUCAAAUGUCUGUCUAAAGGGCUUUGCGAAUGCGAUAAAGGGUGAAACUACAUGGAACAUCUUGUCCAAAAAACAAAAACUAGAAGAUGUGCUAGAAAGUGAUAUGUACGGGAAGCACUGUGCACCCAGUGAACCAAGCAUACUCCAGCAACUAAAAGAAGUAGUUGUCAUGCCCAACUACCACCGUUUGUUCCCAGGUGGUGCCAGGAAGUUAUUUAAUUUCUUUGGCAGCAACUAAGCACAUAGUGUGUUGGGUAAGUUGUCUACCAUCCUGCAGUUGUUUCUGCUGAAAAUUUGGUAUGCACGUGGGCUUCCUCCCCAGCUCCCCUUUAAAUAAGGACUUUCCUAUUUUUAUUAUUGGAUUUUUAUUCUCUCUCUGUGCAUGCCUGUACGUAGAGAUUAGAUCGAGGCUCUACUUGGUAAUGUAGAACUUAAAAGCAUACCCUCAUAGGGUUGAAAUCCUAUCUAGUUUGUGUAUUGAA